GCCAGGCGUGGUGGCUCACACCUGUAAUCCCAGCACUUUGGGAGGCUGAGGUGGGUGGAUCACCUGAGGUCAGGAGUUCGAGACCAGCCUGGCCAACAUGGUGAAACCCCAUCUCUA
rnacentral:sRNA from 1 species